rnacentral:rRNA from 1 species
UACGUAGGGUGCGAGCGUUGUCCGGAAUUAUUGGGCGUAAAGAGCUCGUAGGCGGUGUGUCGCGUCGGCCGUGAAAACCUGCAGCUUAACUGUGGGCUUGCGGUCGAUACGGGCAUCACUGGAGUUCGGCAGGGGAGACUGGAAUUCCUGGUGUAGCGGUGAAAUGCGCAGAUAUCAGGAGGAACACCGGUGGCGAAGGCGGGUCUCUGGGCCGAUACUGACACUGAGGAGCGAAAGCGUGGGGAGCGAACAGG